UAGAGUUUGAUCAUGGCUCAGGAUGAACGCUAGCGGCAGGCUUAACACAUGCAAGUCGAAGGGCAUCGCGGGGAGUGCUUGCACUCCCUGGCGGCGACUGGCGCACGGGUGAGUAACACGUAUGCAACCUGCCCUCCACAGGGGGACAACCUUCCGAAAGGGAGGCUAAUCCCGCGUAAAUCUCGAUGGGGCAUCCCAUUGAGAGGAAAGCUUCGGCGGUGGAGGAUGGGCAUGCGGCGCAUUAGCUAGUCGGCGGGGUAACGGCCCACCGAGGCGACGAUGCGUAGGGGCUCUGAGAGGAAGGUCCCCCACACUGGUACUGAGACACGGACCAGACUCCUACGGGAGGCAGCAGUGAGGAAUAUUGGUCAAUGGGCGCGAGCCUGAACCAGCCAAGUCGCGUGAGGGAAGACGGUCCUAUGGAUUGUAAACCUCUUUUGUCGGGGAGCAAAAGACGCCACGUGUGGCGUUCCGAGAGUACCCGAAGAAAAAGCAUCGGCUAACUCCGUGCCAGCAGCCGCGGUAAUACGGAGGAUGCGAGCGUUAUCCGGAUUUAUUGGGUUUAAAGGGUGCGCAGGCGGAAGAUCAAGUCAGCGGUAAAAUUGAGAGGCUCAACCUCUUCGAGCCGUUGAAACUGGUUUUCUUGAGUGAGCGAGAAGUAUGCGGAAUGCGUGGUGUAGCGGUGAAAUGCAUAGAUAUCACGCAGAACUCCGAUUGCGAAGGCAGCAUACCGGCGCUCAACUGACGCUCAUGCACGAAAGUGUGGGUAUCGAACAGGAUUAGAUACCCUGGUAGUCCACACAGUAAACGAUGAAUACUAAUUGUUCGGGGAGAAUGAUCCCUGAGUGAUACAGCGAAAGCGUUAAGUAUUCCACCUGGGGAGUACGCCGGCAACGGUGAAACUCAAAGGAAUUGACGGGGGCCCGCACAAGCGGAGGAACAUGUGGUUUAAUUCGAUGAUACACGAGGAACCUUACCCGGGCUCAAACGACACAGGAAUACUUUUGAAAGGAGGUAGCUCUACGGAGUCUGUGUCGAGGUGCUGCAUGGUUGUCGUCAGCUCGUGCCGUGAGGUGUCGGCUUAAGUGCCAUAACGAGCGCAACCCCCAUCGCCAGUUACCAGCAAGUCAAGUUGGGGACUCUGGCGAGACUGCCGGCGCAAGCUGUGAGGAAGGCGGGGAUGACGUCAAAUCAGCACGGCCCUUACGUCCGGGGCGACACACGUGUUACAAUGGCAGGUACAGAGAGAAGCAAUGCGGCGACGCAAAGCGGAACUUGAAAGCCUGUCUCAGUUCGGAUUGGAGUCUGCAACUCGACUCCAUGAAGCUGGAUUCGCUAGUAAUCGCGCAUCAGCCAUGGCGCGGUGAAUACGUUCCCGGGCCUUGUACACACCGCCCGUCAAGCCAUGGAAGCCGGGAGUGCCUGAAGUGUGCAACCGCAAGGAGCGCCCUAAGGUAAAACUGGUGACUGGGGCUAAGUCGUAACAAGGUAACCGUA
rnacentral:rRNA from 1 species